UCCCCUCAAGAUUAGAGGUGGCAAUUCGAUUAAAUCGGAUCAGGAUCGGAUUAAAAUAUCAUCAACUCGAAUCUGAUUUAUUUAUUAAAUAAGUCAAAAAUUUAGAUUUGAAUCUGAUCUGUGUAUUAAAUAGAUAAUCCGAUCUGAUCAACUUAAAUAUUUAUUAAACAGAUCAAAAUAAAUUAAAUGAGUUAAACAGAUUAAACAAAUUUUUAACAGAUUAAAU
rnacentral:lncRNA from 1 species